GUAAUUCUUACCAAAGAUAAUCUUGCAAAACGUAAUUGGUAGGGUAGCACAAAAUGUUGUUUUUGUUAUCAACAAGAAACAAUUAAUGAUUCAUUCAUGUCAUGUUUGUUCUCUACAUUGAUUUGGCGCAAAAUUAACAUUAUUUUUAAUUUAUCAUCACCAACAAGUAUAUCAAAUUUCUUUGGUAUUUGGUUUGGACGUAUUCAUCGAAAUUUGAAGGGAAAAUCCAAGGGGCGUCUGUGCCAUUCUUUGGACAAUUUGAAAUUGCUAGAAUGA
rnacentral:rRNA from 1 species